UCUGCUCGUCUCUUACUUUUUUUUUUUUUUUUUUUUUUUUUUUUUAUAAGGUGUCCAAUUCUUGACUAAUCAUUGGGUCUGUGAUCCGGCCCCUCUUCACACAGUCUAGUUAAUCGCAGGAUGUGCCUCCAACUAGACAGGGUCCGAGCCCUCCCCGCCUGAUCUGCCAAAGUGCCAAGCAAGUCAAUUCAAGUUGCAUCUUGCCUUCCAAGAAUAAUCCUUGCCUUCCAAGAUUUCUCUUGCAUUCCAAGAAUAAAUCAUUGCCUUCCAAGAGCCCCAUCUCUUACUUUUUUAUUAUAUAGAGAAGAGUGUUUAUAAUGUCAAUGUUUCUUUUAUAUUAUUUUUAUGUUUAAUUUAUUAUAUACCGUUGAAAUAAAUUGGACGAAAGAGUUCAAAAGACACAAUGUUAU
rnacentral:lncRNA from 1 species